UCCCUACCCAGUUGAAAAAAGACUACUUCUUCCAGAUCUCUCCCCCAUUUUCUACGCUCUCAAACUUUCUUCACUUCAUUUGAAACCAUGUCUCACGCCCUUCUCUUCUUCCAAUGCUCUCCACCUUCAUUUUCCAUCUUCUAGUGAUUUAGGAGAUCAUUGUGUUGCUGCCUCUAUUGACAGCUUUGACGAUUAGUAGACAGCCUCCUUAAUCUUUCUGUUGUUUCACUACCAGGUCUGAGCCACCAAGUUUGUUGUCCAUGCCAUGGCUAGAGGUGAUUGCUAAUCAUCAGAUGACUGUUGGAAACAGGCUGCUGGUGUGAGGAACUUUGCACAUCA